rnacentral:rRNA from 1 species
GAUGAACGCUGGCGGCGUGCCUAAUACAUGCAAGUCGAGCGAACAGACGAGGAGCUUGCUCCUCUGACGUUAGCGGCGGACGGGUGAGUAACACGUGGAUAACCUACCUAUAAGACUGGGAUAACUUCGUGAAACCGGAGCUAAUACCGGAUAAUAUAUUGAACCGCAUGGUUCAAUAGUGAAAGACGGUUCUGCUGUCACUUAUAGAUGGAUCCGCGCCGCAUUAGCUAGUUGGUAAGGUAACGGCUUACCAAGGCAACGAUGCGUAGCCGACCUGAGAGGGUGAUCGGCCACACUGGAACUGAGACACGGUCCAGACUCCUACGGGAGGCAGCAGUAGGGAAUCUUCCGCAAUGGGCGAAAGCCUGACGGAGCAACGCCGCGUGAGUGAUGAAGGUCUUCGGAUCGUAAAACUCUGUUAUUAGGGAAGAACAAAUGUGUAAGUAACUAUGCACGUCUUGACGGUACCUAAUCAGAAAGCCACGGCUAACUACGUG